GCGGCGUGCUUAACACAUGCAAGUCGAACGGAAAGGCCCUGCUUUUGUGGGGUGCUCGAGUGGCGAACGGGUGAGUAACACGUGAGUAACCUGCCCUUGACUUUGGGAUAACUUCAGGAAACUGGGGCUAAUACCGGAUAGGAGCUCCUGCUGCAUGGUGGGGGUUGGAAAGUUUCGGCGGUUGGGGAUGGACUCGCGGCUUAUCAGCUUGUUGGUGGGGUAGUGGCUUACCAAGGCUUUGACGGGUAGCCGGCCUGAGAGGGUGACCGGCCACAUUGGGACUGAGAUACGGCCCAGACUCCUACGGGAGGCAGCAGUGGGGAAUAUUGCACAAUGGGCGGAAGCCUGAUGCAGCAACGCCGCGUGCGGGAUGACGGCCUUCGGGUUGUAAACCGCUUUCGCCUGUGACGAAGCGUGAGUGACGGUAAUGGGUAAAGAAGCACCGGCUAACUACGUGCCAGCAGCCGCGGUGAUACGUAGGGUGCGAGCGUUGUCCGGAUUUAUUGGGCGUAAAGGGCUCGUAGGUGGUUGAUCGCGUCGGAAGUGUAAUCUUGGGGCUUAACCCUGAGCGUGCUUUCGAUACGGGUUGACUUGAGGAAGGUAGGGGAGAAUGGAAUUCCUGGUGGAGCGGUGGAAUGCGCAGAUAUCAGGAGGAACACCAGUGGCGAAGGCGGUUCUCUGGGCCUUUCCUGACGCUGAGGAGCGAAAGCGUGGGGAGCGAACAGGCUUAGAUACCCUGGUAGUCCACGCUGUAAACGGUGGGUACUAGGUGUGGGGUCCAUUCCACGGGUUCCGUGCCGUAGCUAACGCUUUAAGUACCCCGCCUGGGGAGUACGGCCGCAAGGCUAAAACUCAAAGGAAUUGACGGGGCCCCGCACAAGCGGCGGAGCAUGCGGAUUAAUUCGAUGCAACGCGUAGAACCUUACCUGGGUUUGACAUGGAUCGGGAGUGCUCAGAGAUGGGUGUGCCUCCUUUGGGGUCGGUUCACAGGUGGUGCAUGGCUGUCGUCAGCUCGUGUCGUGAGAUGUUGGGUUAAGUCCCGCAACGAGCGCAACCCUUGUUCACUGUUGCCAGCACGUUAUGGUGGGGACUCAGUGGAGACCGCCGGGGUCAACUCGGAGGAAGGUGGGGAUGACGUCAAGUCAUCAUGCCCCUUAUGUCCAGGGCUUCACGCAUGCUACAAUGGCUGGUACAGAGAGUGGCGAGCCUGUGAGGGUGAGCGAAUCUCGGAAAGCCGGUCUCAGUUCGGAUUGGGGUCUGCAACUCGACCUCAUGAAGUCGGAGUCGCUAGUAAUCGCAGAUCAGCAACGCUGCGGUGAAUACGUUCCCGGGGCUUGUACACACCGCCCGUCAAGUCAUGAAAGUUGGUAACACCCGAAGCCGGUGGCCUAACCGUUGUGGGGGAGCCGUCGAAGGUGGGACUGGUGAUUAGG
rnacentral:rRNA from 1 species